rnacentral:rRNA from 1 species
CAUCUUUAAUAGGAUGUUACGAUUGUGUGAAUACAUAGCACAUUCGAGGUAGACGCAGAGAACUGAAACAUCUAAGUACCUGCAGGAAGAGAAAGAAAAUUCGAUUCCCUGAGUAGCGGCGAGCGAAACGGGAAAAGCCCAAACCAGCAAGCUUGCUUGUUGGGGUUGUAGGACUCCAAUAUGGUAGUUCUUUCAGAUAGUCGAAUGACUUGGAAAAGUCAGUCAAAGAGGGUAAAAACCCCGUAGACGAAAUGUGGAAGACACCUAGGAGGAUCCUGAGUACGGCGGAACACGAGAAAUUCCGUCGGAAUCCGGGAGGACCAUCUCCCAAGGCUAAAUACUCCCUAGUGACCGAUAGUGAACCAGUACCGUGAGGGAAAGGUGAAAAGCACCCCGGAAGGGGAGUGAAAUAGAACCUGAAACCGUGUGCCUACAACAAGUCAAAGCCCGUUAAUGGGUGAUGGCGUGCCUUUUGUAGAAUGAACCGGCGAGUUACGAUUGCAUGCGAGGUUAAGUUGAAGAGACGGAGCCGCAGCGAAAGCGAGUCUGAAUAGGGCGUUUGAGUAUGUAGUCGUAGACCCGAAACCAUGUGAUCUACCCAUGUCCAGGUUGAAGGUGCGGUAAAACGCACUGGAGGACCGAACCCACGUACGUUGAAAAGUGCGGGGAUGAGGUGUGGGUAGCGGAGAAAUUCCAAACGAACUUGGAGAUAGCUGGUUCUCUCCGAAAUAGCUUUAGGGCUAGCCUCGGAAUUGAGAAUGAUGGAGGUAGAGCACUGUUUGGACUAGGGGCCCAUCUCGGGUUACCGAAUUCAGAUAAACUCCGAAUGCCAUUCAUUCAUAUCCGGGAGUCAGACUGUGAGUGAUAAGAUCCAUAGUCGAAAGGGAAACAGCCCAGACCACCAGCUAAGGUCCCAAAAUAUAUGUUAAGUGGAAAAGGAUGUGGGGUUGCACAGACAACUAGGAUGUUGGCUUAGAAGCAGCCACCAUUUAAAGAGUGCGUAAUAGCUCACUAGUCGAGUGACCCUGCGCCGAAAAUGUACCGGGGCUAAACAUAUUACCGAAGCUGUGGAGUACACCUUUAGGUGUAUUGGUAGGAGAGCGUUCUAAGGGCGUUGAAGGCAGAUCGUGAGGACUGCUGGAGCGCUUAGAAGUGAGAAUGCCGGUAUGAGUAGCGAAAGACAGGUGAGAAUCCUGUCCACCGAAUGACUAAGGUUUCCUGGGGAAGGCUCGUCCGCCCAGGGUUAGUCGGGACCUAAGCCGAGGCCGACAGGCGUAGGCGAUGGAUAACAGGUUGAUAUUCCUGUACCCGUUGUUUUUGUUUGAGCAAUGGAGGGACGCAGGAGGCUAAGGAAUGCAGACGAUCGGAAAUGUCUGUCCAAGCAGUAAGUCUGAAGAGGAGUCAAAUGCUUCUUUUCUUAAGGACAAGCUGUGAUGGGGAGGGAAAUAAUAGUACCGAAGUUCCUGAUGUCACACUGCCGAGAAAAGCUUCUAGUGAGAAAACAGCGGCCCGUACCGCAAACCGACACAGGUAGUCGAGGAGAGAAUCCUAAGGUGAGCGAGAGAACUCUCGUUAAGGAACUCGGCAAAAUGACCCCGUAACUUCGGGAGAAGGGGUGCUGAUCAUACGAUCAGCCGCAGUGAAUAGGCCCAAGCGACUGUUUAUCAAAAACACAGGUCUCUGCAAAAUCGUAAGAUGAAGUAUAGGGGCUGACGCCUGCCCGGUGCUGGAAGGUUAAGAGGAGUGCUUAGCGCAAGCGAAGGUACGAAUUGAAGCCCCAGUAAACGGCGGCCGUAACUAUAACGGUCCUAAGGUAGCGAAAUUCCUUGUCGGGUAAGUUCCGACCCGCACGAAAGGCGUAACGAUUUGGGCACUGUCUCAACGAGAGACUCGGUGAAAUUUUAGUACCUGUGAAGAUGCAGGUUACCCGCGACAGGACGGAAAGACCCCAUGGAGCUUUACUGUAGUUUGAUAUUGAGUGUCUGUACCGCAUGUACAGGAUAGGUAGGAGCCGUAGAAAUCGGAACGCUAGUUUCGAUGGAGGCGCUGGUGGGAUACUACCCCUGCGUUAUGGCCACUCUAACCCGCACCACUAAUCGUGGUGGGAGACAGUGUCAGAUGGGCAGUUUGACUGGGGCGGUCGCCU